GUAGUAUUCCCUCCGUCCCAAAAUUCUUGUCUUACAUUUUUUUAGAUACGGAUGUAUCUAACACUAAAAUGUAACUAGAUACAUCCAUAUUUAGACAAAUUUAAGACAAGAAUUUUGGGACGGAGAGAGUACAAA
rnacentral:pre_miRNA from 1 species